rnacentral:misc_RNA from 1 species
GAAAUGCGAUAAGUAGUGUGAAUUGCAGAAUUCAGUGAAUCAUCGAAUCUUUGAACGCAGAUUGCGCCCCUUGGUAUUCCAUGGGGCAUGCCUGUUCGAGCGUCAUUUGUACCCUCAAGCUCUGCUUGGUGUUGGGUGUUUGUCCCCGUCUCCGCGCGUGGACUCGCCCCAAAGUGAUUGGCAGCCGGCGUACUGGUCCCGGAGCGCAGCACAUGUCGCGCAAACGAGUGCCUUGGUACGGCGGCGUCCAUAAGCCCCUCUCUCACGCUCUUGACCUCGGAUCAGGUAGGGAUACCCGCUGAACUUAAGC